GACGGAGGGUGCUAGCGUUGUUCGGAAUGACUGGGCGUAAAGGGCGCGUAGGCGGCCGCUUGCGUCGGAUGUGAAAGCCCGGGGCUCAACCCCGGAACGGCAUCCGAUACGGGGCGGCUCGAGACCGAGAGAGGUGAGUGGAAUAGCCAGUGUAGAGGUGAAAUUCGUAGAUAUUGGCUGGAACACCGGUGGCGAAAGCGGCUCUCUGGCCCGGUUCUGACGCUGAGGCGCGAAAGCGUGGGGAGCGAACGGG
rnacentral:rRNA from 1 species